rnacentral:lncRNA from 1 species
CACUCAUCGCGAGACCUUAGCUUUGUGGCGAGAUUUUGAGAACGUAGGUAAAGUAAAUCUCGCGAGAAUUUCGACAGGAUAAGCGUAAACCUGCGCAAUGGUCGGCUAAUGCCGGAAGUCUACUUGUUCGGAGGCUUUUGCUGUCUGGUCGUGUAGAGCAGUUGUAUAGAAGUUUACUGGAGGAUAAUGCUAACUCGGCUGAAAGCAAAAUCGGAAGGGGAGCUUGCAAAACAGAUUUGCAGAGUUGUGUUGGAUCAUUUUGACAAACAGUAUUCUAAAGAACUUGGAGAUCCCUGGAAUACAGUAAGGUUAGUAUAAUUGAUAUCUUGGUAAUUUAAGAUAAAAGAGUGGAAGUAAAGUAAUACACCUUUUUGGGGGGAGGAAUACAGCGAAGAUAAAAGCUACAGGAAUCUAAAUGUGGCUGCCGUUCCCACUGGGGCUAUGGAAAAGGAGAAAUAAAAGGAAAUGGAUUUAGUCACUGGAUAAUGGAAAGGGGAGAAAUUUGUAGAGAUAGUAAGCAAAGUUACUAUGCCUUUGUUGGGAGCACUUGCUUUCAUACACAAGACAGGCUUCCCCACCAGUUUCACAAAAUUAAUUAUACUAUAACAUAAAAAUCAUCAAAGUUUGAGGAAUA